rnacentral:rRNA from 1 species
GACGUAGGGCGCGAGCGUUGUCCGGAUUUAUUGGGCGUAAAGAGCUCGUAGGCGGCUUGUCACGUCGGGUGUGAAAGCCCGGGGCUUAACCCCGGGUCUGCAUUCGAUACGGGCAGGCUAGAGUGUGGUAGGGGAGAUCGGAAUUCCUGGUGUAGCGGUGAAAUGCGCAGAUAUCAGGAGGAACACCGGUGGCGAAGGCGGAUCUCUGGGCCAUUACUGACGCUGAGGAGCGAAAGCGUGGGGAGCGAACAGG